rnacentral:tRNA from 1 species
CCCGGGUUAGCUCAUCAGAAGAGCGCGCGGCUCGGGACCGCGAGGAAGGCGAGUGCAAAUCCGCCACCUGGGA